GACGAACGCUGGCGGCGUGCUUAACACAUGCAAGUCGAACGAAGUGGCGAACGGGUGAGUAACGCGUAAUCAACCUGCCCCUUGCUGGAGGACAACAGUUAGAAACGACUGCUAAUACUCCAUAGCAAGGGAGGAGACUAUAUCGUAUCAGCUAGUCGGUGGGGUAACGGCCUACCGAGGCUAUGACGCGUAACUGGUCUGAGAGGAUGUUCAGUGACAUGUGAGCUGAGACACGGUCGAGACUCCUCCGCGAGGCAGCAGUAGGGGAUAUUGCACAAUGGGGGAAACCCUGACGCAGCAACGCCGGGUGAGGGAUGUCACUUUUCGGAGCGUAAACUCCUUUUAUUAGGGAAGCGGUACCGGAAUAGAAAGCCACGGCUAACUACGUGCCAGCAGCCGCGGUAAUAC
rnacentral:rRNA from 1 species